rnacentral:rRNA from 1 species
UACGUAGGGGGCAAGCGUUGUCCGGAUUUAUUGGGCGUAAAGAGCUCGUAGGCGGUGUGUCGCGUCGGCCGUGAAAACCUGCAGCUUAACUGUGGGCUUGCGGUCGAUACGGGCAUCACUGGAGUUCGGCAGGGGAGACUGGAAUUCCUGGUGUAGCGGUGAAAUGCGCAGAUAUCAGGAGGAACACCGGUGGCGAAGGCGGGUCUCUGGGCCGAUACUGACGCUGAUGCGCGAAAGCGUGGGGAGCGAACAGG